CGGAAGUGUACAGUGCCAGCCGCUGGUUCGCCGGCAAGUCGAAGGUGAUCUCCGAUGGUAAAUUCGGAACUUCACCCGAGAUUAGAGAUUGAAUGUCAUUUUCGUAAUUUCGUAAGAUUGAGCUUUUCUGAGGAGGAGUGGCGGAGAGGACAAGUAAACAGCCUUGAGAGUGGUGGUGAAGAAUGAAAAGGGAGGAUAUGAGCUUAUGAAGACCGAGGCCUGAGGACGUAACCACUAAACCACCAUUGGUAUCUUCUAGAAGCUCUGUGAUUAUAUGCUCGUGAAAUUGGACCAUAUUUAGAAAUCUAGGGUUCCGCCUUAUGCGGUGGCGAUCAUGG
rnacentral:misc_RNA from 1 species